rnacentral:misc_RNA from 1 species
AAGUCGUAACAAGGUUUCCGUAGGUGAACCUGCGGAAGGAUCAUUAAUGAGAUCAUGCCCUUCGGGGUAGACCUCCCACCCUUUGUUUAUAAUACCUUUGUUGCUUGGCGCCCGUCGCAAGCACAACCGCUCCGACUGGUCGAGCGGCCGCCGACGCAGGAGCUCAAAAACUCAUAUUAUCUUUGUCGUCUGAGUACUAUAUAAUAGUUAAAA